rnacentral:rRNA from 1 species
AUGCAAGUCGAACGAUCCCUUCGGGGAUAGUGGCGCACGGGUGCGUAACGCGUGGGAAUCUGCCCUUGGGUUCGGAAUAACUUCUGGAAACGGAAGCUAAUACCGGAUGAUGACGUAAGUCCAAAGAUUUAUCGCCCAAGGAUGAGCCCGCGUAGGAUUAGCUAGUUGGUGAGGUAAAGGCUCACCAAGGCGACGAUCCUUAGCUGGUCUGAGAGGAUGAUCAGCCACACUGGGACUGAGACACGGCCCAGACUCCUACGGGAGGCAGCAGUAGGGAAUAUUGGACAAUGGGGGAAACCCUGAUCCAGCAAUGCCGCGUGAGUGAUGAAGGCCUUAGGGUUGUAAAGCUCUUUUACCCGGGAUGAUAAUGACAGUACCGGGAGAAUAAGCUCCGGCUAACUCCGUGCCAGCAGCCGCGGUAAUACGGAGGGAGCUAGCGUUGUUCGGAAUUACUGGGCGUAAAGCGCACGUAGGCGGCUAUUCAAGUCAGAGGUGAAAGCCCGGGGCUCAACCCCGGAACUGCCUUUGAAACUAGAUAGCUUGAAUCCAGGAGAGGUGAGUGGAAUUCCGAGUGUAGAGGUGAAAUUCGUAGAUAUUCG